rnacentral:misc_RNA from 1 species
GCAAAGCCUCAUUUUUCAGAUUUAUCCAAUAGUGAAUAUGAAAUGGAAUCUUCAGAUGAGGUAUAUUCAUGCUUCUAAAAUCUCUCAAUAAGCAAAGUUGCAGAUCACAUGUAUGUGUGUAUUUAAUACAUGAUGGAUGGAAAAUGUGGGCCACCUUAACUGGAAGCAUUUGUCUCAUUGUUAGCCAGCAUGUGUAUCAUUGUUAGCCAGC